AUUUAGACGACAGGAAAAAGGAAUAAGUCAUUCACGAGUUGAACCUGAACCAGAUGUAGAUGCUGAUAUUGAGACAACUCAAAAGCUUCUAAAAGCAGGCAAUCUGCUUAAGUCAGACUCUGCUCAUCAAGGCCCGUCAUCUUCGACUGCUGGAGUUACCAUCAACAGUUCACAUAAUACAAUCAUGUCUCGUGAUAGAGGUUUACCAAAUACCGCUGCUCCAAGACAGCCACAAAUCCAACAAGAUGUUGCAUUUAAA
rnacentral:misc_RNA from 1 species